AGCCUCGAAUACAUGUCAAUCGUG
rnacentral:siRNA from 1 species